AACGCGAAGAACCUUACCUGGUCUUGACAUCCCAAUGACCGAACCUUAACCGGUUUUUUCUUUCGAGACAUUGGAGACAGGUGGUGCAUGGUUGUCGUCAGCUCGUGUCGUGAGAUGUUGGGUUAAGUCCCGCAACGAGCGCAACCCCUAUCUUUAGUAGCCAGCAUUUAAGGUGGGCACUCUAGAGAGACUGCCAGGGAUAACCUGGAGGAAGGUGGGGACGACGUCAAAUCAUCAUGCCCCUUAUGGCCAGGGCUACACACGUGCUACAAUGGCGUAAACAAAGGGAAGCGAAGUCGUGAGGCGAAGCAAAUCCCAGAAAUAACGUCUCAGUUCGGAUUGUAGUCUGCAACUCGACUACAUGAAGCUGGAAUCGCUAGUAAUCGUGAAUCAGAAUGUCACGGUGAAUACGUUCCCGGGUCUUGUACACACCG
rnacentral:rRNA from 1 species